rnacentral:rRNA from 1 species
AGAGUUUGAUCAUGGCUCAGGAUGAAUGUUGGCGGCGUGCCUAAGGUAUGCAAGUCGAACGAUUCUAUUGUCUAUGAGGCUUCGGCCGAUUAGACGUUUUUGAAUAGUGGCAAACGGGUGAGUAACGCGUAGGUAAUCUGCCCUGAAGUCGGGGAUAGCUCGCCGAAAGGCGGGGUAAUAUUCGAUAGUCCCAUAUCACUCCGGUGUUUAUGGGUAAAGCUCCGGCGCUUCAGGAUGAGCCUGCGUCCUAUCAGCUUGUUGGUGGUGUAAAAGACCACCAAGGCUAAGACGGGUAGCUGGCGUGAGAGCGUGACCAGCCACAAUGGGACUGAGAACGGCCCAUACUCCUACGGGAGGCAGCAAUUAGGAAUCUUGCGCAAUGGGGGCAACCCUGACGCAGCGACGCCGCGUGGAGGACGACGGUCUUCGGAUUGUAAACUCCUUUUAUGUGGGAAGAAUAAAUGACGGUACCACACGAAUAAGUACCUGCUAACUACGUGCCAGAAGCAUCGGUGAUGCGUAGGGUACAAACAUUAUCCGGAUUUACUGGGCGUAAAGAGAUGCGUAGGCUUCUCUGUAAGUCUUUCGUCAAAACCUGGGGCUCAACCCCAGAUCGGCGGUGGAAACUACAGGGAUUGGAUCAGAGAGGGGUGAACGGAAUUCCCGGUGGAGUGGUGAAAUACGUUGAUAUCGGGAGGAACACCAGAGGCGAAGGCGGUUCACUGGCUCUGUUUCGACGCUGAGGCUCGAAAGCGUGGGUAGCAAAACGGAUUAGAUACCCGUGUAGUCCACGCCGUAAACGAUGGAUGCUAGCUGUUUGGUACAACUAUCAAUUAUCUUCGGAUUUUUAAUGGAAGUAUUGAGUGGCGCAGCUAACGCGUUAAGCAUCCCGCCUGGGGAGUACGGCCGCAAGGCUAAAACUCAAAUGAAUUGGCGGGGACCCGCACAAGCGGAGGAGCGCGUGGUUUAAUUCGACGGUAAUCGAAGAAUCUUACCAGGGUUUGACAUGCCGGUCGUACUUUUUCGAAAGAUUUAGGUCAGUUAGGCUGGACCGUGCACAGGUGCUGCAUGGCCGUCGUCAGCUCGUGUCGUGAGAUGUAGGGUUAAGUCCCGAAACGAGCGCAACCCCUAUCCUAUGUUACAAGUGUCUUAGGAGACUGCAGCGGUAAAACGUUGAGGAAGGAGGGGAUGACGUCUGGUCCGCAUGGCCCUUAUAUCCUGGGCGACACACGCGCUACAAUGGUUGGUACAACAGGCUGCCAAGCCGUAAGGCGGAGCAAAUCCUCUAAAACCAAUCUCAGUUCGGAUUGGGGUCUGGAACUCGACCCCAUGAAGUUGGAUUCGCUAGUAAUCGCAGAUCAGCCAUGCUGCGGUGAAUACGUUCUCGGGUCUUGCACACACCGCCCGUCAAGUCAUGGAAGCAGGUAAUACUUGAAGGCGUCUUGCCAAUCUUUUACAUCAAGAGGUGUAAAGGGUUGGCGGGA